CUUCCCUUAUCCAUUUUCAUUUCUUCUAGCCAUGUUCGUCUCAUUUCUUCCCCAAAUCUGGCAGGGAUAGGCCACCGCUGCCGCGAUUGCAGCCGGAGGCGAAGGGCGGGAGCGCGGGAUCCGCAUCUCGUCGCCGGCGCAGACCAAAAAUGGUUGUAGAAGGAGAUGCGGCUCCUAGUGAAGGAGAGGUUGAUAACCCACAAGUAUAGGGGAUCGCAACAAUUUUCGAGGGUAGAGUAUUCAACCCAAAUUUAUUGAUUCGACACAAGGGGAGCCAAAGAAUAUUCUCCAGUAUUAGCAGCUGAGUUGUCAAUUCAACCACACCUGGAAACUUAAUAUCUGCAGCAAAGAGUUUAGUAGCAAAGUAGUAUGAUAGUAGUGGUAACGGUAGCAAAAGGUAAAAGUAGAAAAAGUAGUGUUUUGGUAUUUUGUAGUGAUGAUAGCAAUAGCAACGGAAAAGUAAAUAAGCGAAGAACAAUAUAUGGAAAGCUCGU
rnacentral:rRNA from 1 species